GACGAACGCUGGCGGCGUGCUUAACACAUGCAAGUCGAACGGACAGGCCCUGCUUUUGUGGGGUGCUCGAGUGGCGAACGGGUGAGUAACACGUGAGUAACCUGCCCUUGACUUUGGGAUAACUUCAGGAAACUGGGGCUAAUACCGGAUAGGAGCUCCUGCUGCAUGGUGGGGGUUGGAAAGUUUCGGCGGUUGGGGAUGGACUCGCGGCUUAUCAGCUUGUUGGUGGGGUAGUGGCUUACCAAGGCUUUGACGGGUAGCCGGCCUGAGAGGGUGACCGGCCACAUUGGGACUGAGAGACGGCCCAGACUCCUACGGGAGGCAGCAGUGGGGAAUAUUGCACAAUGGGCGGAAGCCUGAUGCAGCAACGCCGCGUGCGGGAUGACGGCCUUCGGGGUGUAAACCGCUUUCGCCUGUGACGAAGCGUGAGUGACGGUAAUGGGUAAAGAAGCACCGGCUAACUACGUG
rnacentral:rRNA from 1 species